rnacentral:lncRNA from 1 species
GGUAUCAUUGUGAUGCCAGAGGUGCUGAUUGCCAGGCAUGUGCAGUUGGAAUGCUGGCUUCAACUUCAGGGUGCUGGGCUCUUGGAGGAUUGAGUGACAAGAGGACCCAUGGGAGAGGUGACAGGAGGUGGGGAGGGCGCAUGUACCUUCCUCUCCUCAGGUCCCUGAGAACCCAGAUCUCUGGGUUGCUGCUGCUGCCACAGUCGCCUCCCCACCUCCACUGCCAUUUCUACUUCUGCUGCUUGUGUCUGAUGAAUGGCUGAACGGAUGCAUGGAUGAAAGCACCAAAUGAGAAGAAAGAAUGGUUUUGGAUCCUGAGGAUAGACCACAGCCAUGCACAGCUGGGCUGACCAAGCAGGAUCUGAAGCCUCUGACCUCACCAUGGGACUAUUAUCAAAAGGAGAGAAAUCCCUUUUCGAGGAUGGGAUGGACUCAGCUGAGACUGGAUGGCCAAUUCAUCACUGAGCCACUUGCUGCUUAGCUGUCCAUUUUCACCUUCCAGUGCUUCCUAUUCUGGCUUCCUUUCUUUCGAUUGGGAAGUAGCUCCCCAGGAUGGUGGGAUAUGUGUGGUGUCGUCCAGUGGAGGGGUGCUCCUUGGAAUGUACCCUCUCACUCUUUUUUCUUCUUUUCACCCAGUCUACAAGCGUCCAAGACCUUGGAUUGGCAACUGGUGUUCUCCACCGGGCUCAGCAUUGUUAGUCUGGGAAGGAAUACUCAGGAGACAGAAACUCCAAGAGGAGCUCCAGGACUGGAAUAACACAGCCAAGGUGGAAGAUUCCUAA